AGGAGCUGUUGAAUAUAGGAUCCUUUCACAGUUAAGAGUGCUGGACCAAACUGCAGAAAAUAACAUGGGAUGUCCAUAUGCUCUUGAAUUUUCUUUCAGGCGCUCAUAUUUUGUUAAAAGUGUUCUGCCUCAGGAACUGUUAGUUGAUGGUGGAUUCUAAAUAGACAGUUGAAGAAGACUUGAAUAUAAGUAGAAAGGGGAGAAUUUAAAUUUAAUAUGAUCAUGAAAAUGACCAUGGGUUGUACCAUUACUGAUUUUGUUAGUUUCCUGGUUGAUUCUUUUGUGAAU
rnacentral:misc_RNA from 1 species